rnacentral:tmRNA from 1 species
GGGCCAGUCAAGGUUUCGACGGGGUCGUGGAAGUCGGAGAAGCAAGCCGUUGUGACACGUUAAUCACACAAUUAAAAUUAAACGCUAACAACAAAUUAGCAUACGCUGCCUAAUUGCAGCUGCCUGCCUUAGUAGACUCACAUAUUAAGAACAGGUAUCAAACUUGUGAGAAACGACAUAUACAAAGCUUUGAGUAUAUGGGCGUAUUAUGAAGCUACUGAAUGUAUACGGGUGCCUGUCACUGUAUGCAGGAGGGAAUGUCAAUCGAUAGGCUAAGCUUGUAGAAGUACGGUGGAAAUGGUUUCGGACACGGGUUCGACUCCCGUCUGGUCCACUU